rnacentral:rRNA from 1 species
GGAGGUAGUGACAAUAAAUCACAAUGCGGAACUUUUGUUUUGCAAUUGGAUUGAGAACAACGCACAACACUUAUCGAUAAACAAUUGGAGGGCAAGUCUGGUGCCAGCAGCCGCGGUAAUUCCAGCUCCAAUAGCGUAUAUUAACGUUGUUGCAGUUAAAAAGCUCGUAGUUGAAGUGAAGUAAUGAAGUUGUGAUUUGAAAUUUUCAUUUCGCUUCUUAAUUACUCUUUCCAAAUUGUUUGCAUGGGUAUUCAUUUAUCUGUGUAUUGCAUUUGGUCAUUUACUGUGAGAAAAUUAGAGUGUUCAAAGCAUACGUUUGUUUGAAUACAUUAGCAUGGAAUAAUUCGAAAAGGCUUUCAUGUUCGAUUUGAUUGGUUUGUUUGUGAGAGCAAGAUUAAAAGGGACAGUUGGGGGUAUUCAUAUUCAAUAGUCAGAGGUGAAAUUCUCGGAUUUAUGGAAGAUGAACAAGUGCGAAAGCA